CUGCGAAUGGCUCAUUAUAUCAGUUAUAGUUUAUUUGGGGAAGGAAACUAAUUGGAUAACCGUAGUAAUUCUAGGGCUAAUACAUGAGUAAAGUCCCGUUGGGAKGUGUUUAUUAGAAUGAAAACCAUAUGCUUCGGCAUGAUAGUGAGUAAUAGUAACCUAUCGUAUCGCAUGCUUAAAGUAGCGAUGAGUCUUUCAAGUUUCUGCCCUAUCAGCUUUCGAUGGUAGCAUAUGGGUCUACCAUG
rnacentral:rRNA from 1 species